rnacentral:pre_miRNA from 1 species
CAAAAAUUCGCAAUCAAAAGCUGUCUGAUAUACAUGCUUUUGUAUUGCUGAAUUUUUGAU